UAGCUUGCCUUUUGACUGGGGAGAAAAUUACAAGCUUCCAAAUGUACCGGAGAAAGAUCUUGUUAUAUAUGAGAUGAAUGUUCGUGCUUUUACUGCUGAUGAAACAAGUAGUUUGGAUCAAGAUCAACGGGGAAGUUACCUUGGCUUAAUUGAAAAGAUACCACAUCUUCUCGAGCUUGGUGUCAAUACAGUAGAAUUAUUGCCUGUUUUUGAGUUUGAUGAACUGGAAUUACAAAGGCGACCUAAUCCGAGAGAUCACAUGAUCAAUACAUGG
rnacentral:misc_RNA from 1 species